rnacentral:rRNA from 1 species
CGGGAAGGGAUAAACGCUGAAGGCAUCUAAGCGUGAAGCCCCCCUCAAGAUGAGAUAUCCCAUUCGAAAGAAGUAAGACCCCUUGAAGACGACGAGGUAGAUAGGGCAGGGGUGGAAGUGCCGUAAGGCAUGGAGCUGACUGUUACUAAUCGGUCAAGGGCUUGACCUG